rnacentral:rRNA from 1 species
UUNANNUUUUUUUANNUNUUNNCNNGNUCACGACGAACGNNCNCGGCGCGCNCAAUUCAUGCAAGUCGAACCAANUGUGGUAUUGAUUGGUGCCUGCAUCAUGAUUUACAUCCGAGUGAGUGGGGAANUGGUGAGUAACANGUGGGAACCCNGCCCAGAAGCGGGGGAUACCACCUGGAACCAGAUNUUAAUNCCGCAUAACAACUUGGUCCCCAUGGUCCGAGUUUGAAAGAUGGUUUUGGCUAUCACUUUUGGAUGGUCCCGCGGUGCAUUAGCUAGAUGGUGGGGUAACGGCUCACCAUGGCAAUGAUACGUAGCCGACCUGAGAGGGUAAUCGGCCACAAUGGGACUGAGACACGGCCCAAACUCCUACGGGAGGCAGCAGUAGGGAAUCUUCCACAAUGGACGAAAGUCUGAUGGAGCAACGCCGCGUGAGUGAAGAAGGGUUUCGGCUCGUAAAACUCUGUUGUUAAAGAAGAACAUAUAUGAGAGUAACUGUUCAGGUAUUGACGGUAUUUAACCAGAAAGCCACGGCUAACUACGUGCCAGCAGCCGCGGUAAUACGUAGGUGGCAAGCGUUGUCCGGAUUUAUUGGGCGUAAAGAGAGCGCAGGCGGUUUUUUAAGUCUGAUGUGAAAGCCUUCGGCUCAACCGGAGAAGUGCAUCGGAAACUGGGAAACUUGAGUGCAGAAGAGGGUAGUGGAACUCCAUGUGUAGCGGUGGAAAUGCGUAGAUAUAUGGAAGAACACCAGUGGCGAAGGCGGCNUNGCUCUGGUCUGUAACUGACGCUGANNCUCGA